GCGCUGUCUUCAGCAGCACAUAUACUAAAGUUGGAACGGUGCACAGCAGAUUAGCAUGGCCCUACACAAGGAGGACGUGCAAGUUCAUGAAGCGUUCCAUAUUGAA
ensembl:snRNA U6 U6 spliceosomal RNA